AUGGGUUUGAGCCUGGCCCUGCUCGAACGCGUGCAGGCGGUUUAACACAUGCAAGUGUUGGUUUUUUUAUCAAAGAAAAACCACGCGACCGGGUGCGUGAUAACUGGUUUUUCUACUUUUUUCAAAGGUCAAUCCUUUAUAGAAAUGACUCCAUUUUAAAGACAUUGGUCGAAAAAAGUAGAUGCUUGUUUGGAUUAGGUUGUUGGGUUGGUAACAGCAGCCCAAGCCCUGGAUCCACAGCCUCCCUUAACGGGGGAUGGCCACAGCGGAACUGAAAAACGGUCCGUCCAUGGAUAUGGCAGCAGUGAAGAAUCUUUGACAAUGGGCGUAAGCCUGAUCAAGCUAGCCUGUGAAAGGGACUUUUUUUAUACAGAAAAGUUCAAAAGAAAGCCUUUGGUUGUAAACCUUUCUAAAUUUAGUAUUAUUCAGAAAUAUCUAAAUGGAAUUCCCCGGCUAACUCUGUGCCAGCAGCCGCGGUAAGACAGAGGGGGAGAGUGUUGAGCAUCUGGACUAGGCCUAAAGCGCGGGUCGGUGGUUCAUGAAACUUAAAAAUAUUUCCCCGAAGGGUCGGGGCCCUUUUUUAAGACUCUUGAACUGGAGUUUAACCCUAGGGUAAGAGAACCACCCAAGAACCGGUAGAAUGGGAGGAUUUGGGUGUGAAUGCCAACGGCGAAGGCACUUACCUUUUGUUAAACUGACGCCUAGCCGCGGAAGCGUGGUGUACCGAAUGGGAUUGGAUACCCCAGUAGCCCACGCCGUCAACGAUGAGUGUUUCAUCUUUUAUUUACAAAAAUAAGAGGUUUAAGCCAAAAGCGGCAACACUUCGCCUGGGGAGUAAAGCCGCAAGACUGAAACUCAAAGGCAUAAGCUGCCGGGUAGACCGGCGGUGGAACAUAGCGGUGGAAACGAAACAACGCGUAACACCUCACCACUCCUUGAAUGCAAAAAACUUAUUGUGAG
rnacentral:rRNA from 1 species